GAUUGGGUGAAACCCUAGCCAACGCUCCCCAAUCCCCAUCACAUCCCUCUCCUUCGCUCCCGCCGCCGCGCUCCCGUCCUCCCUUCCCCCCCUUCCCAGUCGCCGCACGAGGUGGACUGCGACCCACGCCCCUGUCGUCUCCUCUGCCCAGCCAAUCACCCCUCCUCUGUGUGCCUCCCUCCUCCUCCUCCUCCUCAUUGGGACCGGGCAAGGGGAUGAGUGCGGGCCGCAGAGACGACAAGGUGGCUGAGCUAUCCACGGCGCCGUCAUCGUUCGUCCGGACUCAGCAGGAGGAGUGCUGGCCAUGGGGAUGGAAGAGGGAGCCAGCCAUCCGCCGUGUCGUGGCCGCCAUCCAGGAUGAGACGCUCAUCCACACGCGGCAAGCCUUGGACUAGGACGCGCCACGAGAAGCAGACGGGGAGGCCAUUGCCAGCUGGUCCGAGAUCUGAGCGCACCCGUCGCCGCCGCCGUUCGUUGUCCACUUGGCUGCAGCCAUCCCCAAGAAGAGGGGAUGUCACGGCAGCGGGAUCCUCGCCUGUCUCCACUCCCUCACCUCCCCGUUCUGCUGGCAAGGGUGUGGUAUCCCAUGGGGGGUGCUUCUCGCUCGAGGAGUAACCACUCCAGAGCAGGAGCAGGACAGGUUCGUUCAUGCUCUAUCUACUCAUGUGCUUGCUAUACUUGCUGGAGUAGGUAUAUGGUUCCUGCGUGUGUGGUUUGGUGUCUGGGUUUUUCCCAAUUCCAGUCCAGAAGCAUGGAUUUAGGGAUUAUCUUACUUGGUUUUGGGUGCGGCUGCUGGUAGGCAAACCAUUUUGUAAGGGCCUCUAUCUGUGCACCAUGAUUUUAGUCUUCAGGUAAUCUGUUUUAGAUACUAGAUUUGUAAAUAUGAAAUGUGCUUGGAGUUACUUUUCUUUCCUUUUUUUAUUCAUUUGUCAGGAUUUAUCCUUUUCUACAACUAUGUACUUGGCGCUUGAGUUUCACUGUACUUCAAAGUUAUAUAGAGCACUAUAUAUGAGUAUAUGAUUGGCUAGCAGUUCCCUUCAGGAUACAUGUGCUAGGUUUCAAUGUCUUCAUUUCCUUGCUUUAUUUGUUAGGUGUCUCAUUUUUUCUCUGUCUCGCAAGAUAUAAUAUGCAGAGGCAAAUAAAAAAUGUACCCGAUAAACUGAUCCGCACUGUAACAAGAUAAGUGGGGUUUAGCUCCCAAAAUAUUGCAAAGCUUAAAUCCUAUAUGGUUUCAGUAGAAAAUGGUCACACAAAAACAAAUUGAUGGAAAUGGGAUUUGCAGGAUGUACUUAUGAUUUCCAGGCUUCUAUACUGUCAGUGAUAUGUUCCUCUUGGCGUCAUCUAGAUCUUUAGAGAGUGACUGAAAAUUGUCUUACAUCCUGUUACAUCAAAUGAAGUGACUUGAAAUUCUCAAAUGACAAAUUAACAUGGGCUUUUGAGCAUAUAACACAUUGCUAGAAACAUUUCCUUGGAGAAAAUGGGGAACUGAAGCAUAGGUGUUAUAGUGAAUACUAAAAUUUACAUGUUGCGUCUUUUGGUCUUUUGCUUAGAUGUUGACAAAGGAGUAUGUGAGAGAAGAUUAUGGUCAGGGAACAUUAAUGCAGAGUGUCUACUCCAGUCUUUCACCAGCACAGUGUAACUGAACAUGGAAAUAUCAAGCACACAGAUCUGGUUUUCCUAUGCCUGGGUGUCUUCUCUUUCAGUCUGUUCCUGCUUUUUGUGUGUUGAAUUGCUCAUUCAUCAUAGCUUGCUGCAUGUUCAGUCUUUCACAUUUAGGAACCAUAAGAGUGGAGAAGUUCCAGAAAAGUUUGUCGAUCAGCUCAUGAUUAUACUUGAGGGAAGGAUCUAUGAAAUUCGAAGGUUCCUACUUUUUCCGAGGAUUUUACAUGCUAAAAUUUGAAAGUAUACAUCUGUUGUUGAAAGGGACAAGUUUAGGGUUUAGCAGAGUUAGCGGCGGUCCUACAUGAUAUUGGUACAUUAACAAUGCCCUACCUGAUAUCACUGAUUUCCUUCAAGGUUACUUCAUCUUGUUUCGGUUGAUAGAUUGCCUACACAAUCUUCUAUGCCAUGCAGGAUAGAGUUUAUUACAAUUCGUGCUUUGUGGUUUCUUGAAAUGGUUUUUAGAUCAAGAUUUAUACAUGCUCCUACUCUUCAUAAAGAGGUAACGAUUUGGUUCUCAUUUAUACUUUCUGCUGGACUUAAGCUAGGUUGAAAGGACUAAAGGCAGAGAGGUGUUAAUUUAUUACAUAUGGUUGCCUUUCUGCAUUCUGUCAGUCUCCACUGCUAACAUGUGUCAGACAAAAAAGCAAAAGUAACUUAGUUAGUUACAUGAAGCAUAUUGGGUUAUGAAAAAGAUGGUUAAUUAGAUACGAAGGCCAUGCUCAACUGCUUAUUCUUCGUGCUUGGUCCGCCUGAAUUCUAUAGCUACUUCCUCCGGUCCGAAUUAAUUGACGCAGCCUCUAUUUAUAGAGGCUGUGUCAAUUAAUUCGGAUUGGAGGGAGUACUGAAAUAUAUACAAUGCCAUGAUUAGUUUAUGAGGCCCUGUUUUGCUAAGCUAUCUUAAUUGUGUACACAUACUGUUGAUCAAAUUUCCAUAUCCUGAGUUGCUAAUUAUUGUUGGGAUAAAUAAAGGGACUGAUCUUUCGUACUUGUCUUCACGCACGUUUUCAUUUGCCUGAUUUAAUAACCUUGUUUGAUAUAUAGUUCAUGAUUUGGUACAAGCUAUCAAUUGUACUUGGUUGCCUACCACCCAGUUUAUUAAGAUGCUAUUAGUGGCUCUUUUUUAUGUUCUCCUUUCAGAGUUGUACCAAGGCCUACCACUUCUUUGGCCGCCAAUGUAAUUUCUAUCCAGCGCCUAUCUCUCUUACCAGCUUCCAAGGGAGUCCGGGGUGACGAGGGUGAUGGCACUGGCUCCGACAUAACAGAGUCAUGCCGCCUAAGAUGCCGGUUUACCUUAGCAACUUAGCCCAAUAUGGCUAAUUAAAUCAACAAUGGGAAAAGCUCGAAGUUGUCUUCGUCGCAACCAUUGAUCACAGGUUCAUACCAGCAAAAGUUGCAGGGUAUAGCAAACCGAUUAGUGCGGUGUGCUUUGAAGAGAGCCAAAAGGAAGAGAGAGGCGAGUGUACAUGACCUGAAGACGGCAAGGCAACACUUCCACGACGACGUCAACAUCGUCGUGGUCUAUCUUCAGCGGCACCGGCACCGGGCCGUCAGAUCAGGGUCAUGGAGCGGUAACUGCAAAGAUAGAGCCCCAAAGUAUCACUCUGUAGGUGAAUUGUAUGAUGGGUUACAGAUUUUACUUAUAAGACAACAUGUACUGCCAACUAUUCCUCCGUUCAAAAAUAGAUGACUCAACUUUGUAUUAACUUUAGUACAAAGUUCCCCGCAAAAAAAAAAUCUUUAGUACAAAGUUGAGUCAUCUAUUUUGAAACGGAGGGAGUACAAUUUAAAGCAUAUCUGGUAUUUUCGUAUUCUUUGUCGUGUGUAGAAUACAUGGUCUGAUAGGGUCAGCGUUUGUAUGAACUUUUGGUGGAUAAAGUGUUUUGUAUCUCAAGCAAGUUCAUCAUUGAACACAAUAAUUAGAUUGUGUUUUCCUAA